UUUUGUACUUGUCAGUGGCUGUCAUUUCGCUUGCUGUCACGUGUAAUUGUUAUUAUUCGUUUAAUCGUUAUUAUCAAAAAAUAACAUAUUUUCUGAGAAGAAUCCUAUUGGUACUUACUUUGUUUGGCCGUCUGCGCCUCGAGAGCUCGGCAGAGGUCAGGAGCGGAAGAGAGAAGGGAUCAUGAGGGAUCUGCAGCCUCCCAGUGAUGAGGAGAUCCAGAGUUAUGUGAGGGAGAUUGUGGCGAAUGCAGACUUGGAACACAUAACUAUGAAGAUGGUGUAUGUGCAAGUAUUCAACAAGUACCCGGACUUUAAUCUCACUAAGAAGAAGAGUAUGAUCCGGGCAACGGUGAUGUCGCUAAUCAGAUAAUCUAAUCCUGAAAUGAAUACCAAAAUAUAUUUAACUUGAGCUCGGCGUCGCCAGUCCUCCAGUCGCGUCGGCCGAAGACUUCCACUAUGUUCUUACUACCUUUACAUGUUUUUUUAUUAGGCUACUUUAUUAAGCCUAUGUCUAUUUCUUAAAGGUAGUUAUUAUAAUAACUGUACUUGUAGUAGUCCUAUCUCAAUUGGAUAGGAAUUAGAAAUUGAUGUAUUUUCAAAUUAUUCCAUAAUAAUGCAUCUUUUCAAUAAUAUCUGUAGAGUGUAUGGUUCUAAAACAAAAUUUGAGGUAAAAAUUACGACUCUUCCAAAGUGAUUCAUGUUUGUGAUAAUAAUAAUCUUUUGAUUGAAAAUUAAAUAGUUAAAGUACUUA